rnacentral:rRNA from 1 species
GAUGAACGCUGGCGGCGUGCCUAAUACAUGCAAGUCGAGCGAACAGACGAGGAGCUUGCUCCUCUGACGUUAGCGGCGGACGGGUGAGUAACACGUGGAUAACCUACCUAUAAGACUGGGAUAACUUCGGGAAACCGGAGCUAAUACCGGAUAAUAUAUUGAACCGCAUGGUUCAAUAGUGAAAGACGGUUUUGCUGUCACUUAUAGAUGGAUCCGCGCCGCAUUAGCUAGUUGGUAAGGUAACGGCUUACCAAGGCAACGAUGCGUAGCCGACGUGAGAGGGUGAUCGGCCACACUGGAACUGAGACACGGUCCAUACUCCUACGGGAGGCAGCAGUAGGGAAUCUUCCGCAAUGGGCGAAAGCCUGACGGAGCAACGCCGCGUGAGUGAUGAAGGUCUUCGGAUCGUAAAACUCUGUUAUUAGGGAAGAACAAAUUUGUAAGUAACUAUGCACGUCUUGACGGUACCUAAUCAGAAAGCCACGGCUAACUACGUG